UCGCCUUUAAUUGCCGAAAAACUCGAUUCCAGAGAUCCGGUUGAGUCUCCAUCACCUCUAGUUUCUGAAGAUAACGAGUCUAGAGUUUCCGAGUCAUCUGCUACAACUGAGAAAGCAAAGCUGGCUGAGUCGCCUUUAAUUGCCGAAGAACUUGAUUCCAGAGAUCCAGUUGAGCCUCUGUCACCUCUAGUUUCUGAAGAAAAUGAGUCGAGAGUUUCCGAGUCAUUGGCUACAACUGAAAAUGCAGAGCUGGCUGAAUCGCCUUUAAUUACUGAAGAACUUGAUUCCAGAGAUCCUGUUGAGUCUCUGUCACCUCUAAUUUCUGAAGAAAAUGAGUCUGGAGUUUCUGAGUCAUCUGCUACAACUGGAAAAGCAGAGCUGGCUGAGUCGCCUUUAAUUGCCGAAAAACUCGAUUCCAGAGAUCCGGUUGAGUCUCCAUCACCUCUAGUUUCUGAAGAUAACCUCUAGUUUCUGAAGAUAACGAGUCUAGAGUUUCCGAGUCAUCUGCUACAACUGAGAAAGCAAAGCUGGCUGAGUCGCCUUUAAUUGCCGAAGAACUUGAUUCCAGAGAUCCUGAGUCCCCUGUUGCAACUGGAAAAUCAGAUAUUGCUGCAGGAACUAAGUUGUCUAUUAUCUGUAGAGAAAAACAAUUGAGAGCAUCUGAGGUACCUGUUACAACUGAGAAAUCCGAAAUUGUGGUUGAACCUCUGUUGCCUCAAAGCUCGAAAGUAAACAAGUCGAGAGUUUCAGGUUCACCUCUUAUAGUUGAAAAGGACAACUUGGUGGUUGAAACUCAGUUGCCUCUUAUCUACAAAGAAAAUGAUACGGGAGUUUCUUUAUCACCUGUUACUACUGA
rnacentral:lncRNA from 1 species